ACGCUGUUACGACUUCACCCAGUCAUGAAUCCUGCAAGUAUUGUCCUUAUCAUACGAUUGAAACCUGUUUCACUGGUAAAACCCACCUCCCCAUAAUGUGACGAGCAGUAAUAUGUGCAAGACCGAACAUAUUGCCGCGACAUGCUGAUCACGGUACAACGAUCUCCGACACACCACCAAUCGGUACGAACUGCAAUCCAUGAACUACGAUCGAUUCUGGGAUUGGCUCCCCCUCGCGAGGUUGGCGACCUGUCCCGACCGUAUGACAUGUGGCUUACCCAUAAGAGCCGCAAGACCGACGUCAUCCACCUUCCUCCGGUUUGUCACCGGCGAUCUCGAUAAGUGCCCUUUCGUAACAACUGGUAAUGACGGAGUUGCGCUCGUUGGAGCUUAACCAACAUCUCGACACGAGCUGACGACGCUUCAUGCAGCACCUGUGUUCGGUUCUCUUGCGAGCACUCCCAAAUCUCUUCGGGUUCGGACAUGUCAAGGGUAGGUGAGUUUUUCGCGUUGCAUCAGAUUAAUCAUCAUCCACCGCUUGUGCGAGUCGUCGAUUCCUUUGGUUUUAAUCACGCGACCGCUCCCCGGGCAGUCCUUCACGCGUUGGCGCUGCUACCAAGGCGAAGGCCCCAGCAACUGAAUUGACAUCAUUUGGGGCGUGGACUACCGGGGUAUCACAAUCAUGUUUGCUCCCACGCUCGUGCCAGGCAUCAGUGUUAUCCGGGAGGCUGCCUUCGCCAUCGGUGUUCCUCCGCAUAUCUACGCAUUCUACUGCUACACGCAGUCCACCUCCUCUGGCCCUCUGUCGUAGUAUGCGAAUUUCAAGGUAAGCUGGGAUUUCGCAUCAUCUUUCCGAACACCUGCGCCAUAUGUUCGUGCUGCCGCCCGUAUUACCGCGGCACCUGGCACAUGGUAGCCGGUACCAUUCUGCGAAGCACCAUCGGUACAGAAGUAUUAUCCCCGUACCAAUCUCUUCCUGCCAAAAGUGCUUUACAGCGAGAAGGCCAUCGCACGCGGGAUGGCUGGAUCGGGGUUUCCCCAUUGUCGAAAAUUCCCACUGCUGCCUCCGUAGGAGUCACGAACCCGUAUCCUACGAUCCCGUGUGGCUGGUCGUCCUCUCAAACCAACUGCGGAUCGUCGCCUUGGUGAGCAGGUACCCCACCAACUGGCUAAUCCGGAUAUCGGCCGCUCUAAUGAGUGCAGGCCCGAAGAUCCCCGCUCCCCGAAGGUGUGCGAUAUUAGCUGUGCUUUCGCGUGAAUUAUCCCCCGCUGCUGAGCACGUUCGACCAUUACUCACCCGUUCGCCACUCGCCUGGACAAAAUCCGUGCUGCCAUUCGACUUGCAUGUGUAAGCAUCCGCCGGCGUUCGUCGAACCAUGAUCGAACUCUGUUACGCGAUGCUCAGAACAU
rnacentral:rRNA from 1 species